rnacentral:rRNA from 1 species
CAAUAGCGUAUAUUAAAGUUGUUGCAGUUAAAAAGCUCGUAGUUGAAUUUUUGCUUGCCGCCGAUGUCGGAACUUCCGUACGUUCGGCGGCGUGCAUCCUUGGGUGGAACCUGUGUGGCAUUAGGUUGUCGUGCAGGGGAUGCUCAUCGUUUACUGUGAAAAAAUUAGAGUGUUCAAAGCAGGCCUACGCCGUUGAAUAUAUUAGCAUGGAAUAAUAAGAUAGGACCUUGGUACUAUUUUGUUGGUUUGCGCACCGAGGUAAUGAUUAACAGGGACAGUUGGGGGUAUUCGUAUUCCAUUGUCAGAGGUGAAAUUCUUGGAUUUCUGGAAGACGAACUACUGCGAAAGCAUUUACCAAGGAUGUUUUCAUUAA